rnacentral:rRNA from 1 species
AUUGAACGCUGGCGGCAGGCUUAACACAUGCAAGUCGAGCGGAGAUGAGGUGCUUGCACCUUAUCUUAGCGGCGGACGGGUGAGUAAUGCUUAGGAAUCUGCCUAUUAGUGGGGGACAACAUUCCGAAAGGAAUGCUAAUACCGCAUACGUCCUACGGGAGAAAGCAGGGGAUCUUCGGACCUUGCGCUAAUAGAUGAGCCUAAGGCGGAUUAGCUAGUUGGUGGGGUAAAGGCCUACCCAGGCGACGAUCUGUAGCGGGUCUGAGAGGAUGAUCCGCCACACUGGGACUGAGACACGGCCCAGACUCCUACGGGAGGCAGCAGUGGGGAAUAUUGGACAAUGGGCGGAAGCCUGAUCCAGCCAUGCCGCGUGUGUGAAGAAGGCCUUUUGGUUGUAAAGCACUUUAAGCGAGGAGGAGGCUACCUAGAUUAAUACUCUGGGAUAGUGGACGUUACUCGCAGAAUAAGCACCGGCUAACUCUGUGCCAGCCGCCGCGGUAACAC